rnacentral:lncRNA from 1 species
UGGCUAUCAAGAUGUAGAGCAAUCAGAUAGUGCUCUUUUAUGUGCCGUUGCUCAGCAACCUGUUAGUGUGGGAAUUGAUGGUUCCGCCAUUGAUUUUCAACUUUACACUGGUGUAAGUAUUUGUUUGGAACCUGGAAACUUUUUGUUUAAAACGAAAUUUUUGGGGUAAUGAAAUUCGUAUGGCAUGAUGCAUGAAUAGGGAAUUUAUGAUGGGAGCUGCUCGGAUGAUCCAGAUGACAUUGAUCAUGCUGUUUUAAUAGUUGGUUAUGGUUCAGAAGACAGUGAAGAGUAUUGGAUAGUGAAGAAUUCAUGGGGAACAAGUUGGGGGAUAGAUGGAUAUUUCUAUCUAAAAAGAGACACUGAUUUACCAUAUGGUGUUUGUGCUGUCAAUGCCAUGGCUUCUUAUCCAACUAAACAAUCCUCUUCACCAUCCCCUUAUCCAUCGCCAAGUGUUCCUCCACCGCCACCUCCUUCAACUCCACCACCACCACCACCUCCAUCUCCUUCACCAAGUGAUUGUGGAGACUUUUCCUAUUGUUCAAGUGAUGAGACAUGCUGUUGCCUUUUUGAAUUCUAUGAUUAUUGCCUAAUAUACGGCUGCUGUGAAUAUGAAAAUGCUGUUUGCUGUACUGGAACUGAAUACUGCUGCCCUAGUGAUUACCCCAUUUGUGAUGUCCAAGAAGGACUCUGC